rnacentral:rRNA from 1 species
UACGUAGGGUGCGAGCGUUAAUCGGAAUUACUGGGCGUAAAGCGUGCGCAGGCGGUUCGUUAUGUCCGUUGUGAAAGCCCCGGGCUCAACCUGGGAAUGGCAAUGGAAACUGGCGGGCUAGAGUGUGGCAGAGGGGGGUGGAAUCCGCGUGUAGCAGUGAAAUGCGUAGAGAUGCGGAGGAACACCGAUGGCGAAGGCAGCCCCCUGGGCUAGCACUGACGCUCAGGCACGAAAGCGUGGGGAGCAAACAGG